rnacentral:rRNA from 1 species
UACGUAGGGUCCGAGCGUUGUCCGGAAUUAUUGGGCGUAAAGGGCUCGUAGGCGGUUCGUCACGUCGGGAGUGAAAACUCGGGGCUUAACCCCGAGCCUGCUUCCGAUACGGGCAGACUAGAGGUAGGCAGGGGAGAGCGGAACUCCUGGUGUAGCGGUGGAAUGCGUAGAGAUCGGGAGGAACACCAGUGGCGAAGGCGGUGGCCUGGACCGAUGCUGACGCUGAGGCGCGAAAGCGUGGGGAGCGAUCCGG